UGUGGACCAUGUCUUGCAUUUGGAUUGAGACACGUACAAACCUUAUCGAUAAACAAUUUGGAGGGCAAGUCUGGUGCCAGCAGCCGCGGUAAUUCCAGCUCCAAUAGCGUAUAUUAACGUUGUUGCAGUUAAAAAGCUCGUAGUUGAAAUGAAGGGUAGUUGUGUAAUGAAUACAUUCGUGUAUUUUGUUAUUCUACUACCCUCCUUCUAAAUUCGAUAUAUGAGUAUUAAUUUACUUGUAUAUGGUUUUAGACCUUUACUGUGAGAAAAUUAGAGUGUUCAAAGCAGGCAUUUGCUUGAAUAUAUUAGCAUGGAAUAAUCAUGUAUGAUUUUCAUGAUGUAUUUGAUUGGUUUGGUUCAUGAGAAUAAGAUUAAAAGGGACAGUUGGGGGUAUUCAUAUUCAAUAGUCAGAGGUGAAAUUCUCGGAUUUAUGGAAGAUGAACAGGGGGGAAAAGAAAA
rnacentral:rRNA from 1 species